rnacentral:misc_RNA from 1 species
AAGCUAGGAUAUCAACUUUACGAAAAUUGUUUCCUCUAAUGGAAGACAAAAAGAGUCUUGCCUCUUCAGAAGAACGUACACAGAUUAAAGGAAAGGCUUCUCUGUUAGCUGCAGUUGAUUACUAUGUUGGCUUGCACAGUGACAUCUUCAUCUCUGCUUCUCCAGGAAAUAUGCACAAUGCAUUGGUCAGUAUUUUGACUGAUUUUAUGGAAAAUUAACUUCAAUGUGGUGGUACAACAUAUAUAUAACCAUUGAGUUAAACUUGUACGAUGCUGUGCUCCUCUUCUUGCUGCUCUUUUUUUAAUCUUGAAAUUUUUACCCACCUGAAUCCUAGGCAGUUGAACUUUUAUAUGUUCUUUUUCCCAAGUGAAGUUGAUUUUCGCUCACUGAUAUGCGUUGCAAAUGAAAGAAACAGGGAUUUGGUACAUAGGGAAGGCCAUUACCCAAUUGGCUGUUUUCACUUAAAUCAGUUUGAGCAAUCAGGGUUAGGACCAAAUUUGGCUAUAGAUUUGAGAAAGUUGUGCAAAAAGGAUCAAAAUAAAACAGGUGAAUUUGAAAUAAAUUGGAAUUCAUGAAACAAAAAUUGGAAAUUGUUGAAUGGUUUGUUGUCAUUUGGGCUUGUGUCUCUUUUUCGCUUCUCUCUAUUGCUAGGUUGCCAUGGAUAUUUGAAAUUGUACAUGAAGCUGGAUUGCAUACAUUUACAAUUUCAUGCAUCAAUAAUGUAUGUGAAGAUAACAAAUUUUGUGAUGCCAACAGUUGGGACAUCGAACUUACAAGAA